UGCCCCACCACGUGAGAACGAUCCUGGGGGAGCCUGCUGGAGGAUGAGGUAAACUGCAUGCAGCCCAUGCAGUUCAUCACAGCUGAAGCCAUCCUACAGCCACCAGCUCCCAACUGAUCUGCCAGCUGACCCCAGGUGGACGAGCCAACCCCAGGUGAGCUCAGGUCGAGCCUGUCCUAGGUCUGUAGAACCACCUGACCAAUAGACAUGUGAGAAAUUGUGUCUGUCCACCACACCAUCCUGCUGAAUCCAUCUCCCCGCCUUCCCUCAACGAGCUGACCUCCUCCUGUCUUCUGAAGAGCGACCCCCAGUGCACUCUGUCCCCUCGGGGAAUCAGCAGCGGCCACUCGGGAGCACGGACGGCCUGCGUCGGCAAAGAAGAUGCAUUUGGAUGUUGUAAGAUUAAUCUGUUUUGGAAGACACAGUAAACAUCCUUCAUUGUUCUG